rnacentral:misc_RNA from 1 species
GACGUCCUUUUCAUGCAACGAAGAUGCUUCAGUAUUGCUUUGCUCCAUACUGACGCCAAAAUCAAUAGAAUCAGCUAAACCAUCAUCAGAAGCCCAAGAUUCAAAUUUACAAGGAUGACUCAUUCUAUGAGACACCCGUUGGUUCCUCAUAAAUUGUACUCUACUUGUCUGGUAACUAUAUUCUUCUCUGUUGAAAACUGA